AUAUAUAUAUAUAUAUAUAUAUAUAUUAUAUAUUGUAUUAUUCAUAAUAUUUAGAAAUGCUUUUAUAAAUUUUAAAAAUUAUUUACCUGAAAUGCUUUGGAAAAUUGAUCUUAUGGAGAAUGUAAUUUUUAAAAAAAAUGAACAUUUUGCAAGAAAUCCUCAUUAAAUAUUUUGUUGAAUCCUUAUGGGUUUGCUUAGUCAGGUGAAACACUGCACUCAUCCUUAAUCUUUGAAAUAGAAGACAUUAUGUACAUACUUUCAAUUUUUUUCUGCCAUUACAGAGAAGAACUAUGCCUAUAUAUUAUAUUUUGAGUAGUGAGUCUAACUAUUAAUAAUCUGUAGACCACAACAAAGUUUUAUUUUAUCAUCACACGCCUAAAAUGAAUAUUGAACUAUUGACCUACUUCUAAAAACAUUCAUUGAAAAUCAGAACGAGACUGUACAUUUUGUGUGAUGUGUUGAAAUGAUGACCAUUUGUAAACUUUGGACUGUUUGUGGUCAUCCAUAGACUUUGUUAAAAGUGAACACUUGUCAAUAAUAAAAACUUUUACCAAAAUCAAA